rnacentral:rRNA from 1 species
CCUACGGGCGGCAGCAGUCGAGAAUCAUUCACAAUGGGGGAAACCCUGGUGGUGCGACGCCGCGUGGGGGAAUGAAGGUCUUCGGAUUGUAAACCCCUGUCAUGUGGGAGCAAAUUAAAAAGAUAGUACCACAAGAGGAAGAGACGGCUAACUCUGUGCCAGCAGCCGCGGUAAUACAGAGGUCUCAAGCGUUGUUCGGAAUCACUGGGCGUAAAGCGUGCGUAGGCUGUUUCGUAAGUCGUGUGUGAAAGGCGCGGGCUCAACCCGCGGACGGCACAUGAUACUGCGAGACUAGAGUAAUGGAGGGGGAACCGGAAUUCGCGGUGUAGCAGUGAAAUGCGUAGAUAUCGAGAGGAACACUCGUGGCGAAGGCGGGUUCCUGGACAUUAACUGACGCUGAGGCACGAAGGCCAGGGGAGCGAAAGGGAUUAGAUACCCGAGUAGUC